AUCAAUAGAUUGAGUCGGUUGAUUAACAAUUUUACUUCUAUUUAAUUGUCAUAAAACGAUUUAAGAAGUAAAUAACCCCAAUAACCUUCGGAAGUAACAUAUACGUUUUUCUUAGUCAUUUGAGUUUUACGUUGCUAAUGCAUUAAAAAAUUUGGAAAUGAUAGAAAGGUUUUAAUCAUUCCGGCCAUAUGUUUUU
rnacentral:telomerase_RNA from 1 species